rnacentral:rRNA from 1 species
GGCGGCAGGCCUAACACAUGCAAGUCGAGCGGAAACGACACUAACAAUCCUUCGGGUGCGUUAAUGGGCGUCGAGCGGCGGACGGGUGAGUAAUGCCUAGGAAAUUGCCUUGAUGUGGGGGAUAACCAUUGGAAACGAUGGCUAAUACCGCAUAAUGCCUACGGGCCAAAGAGGGGGAUCUUCGGACCUCUCGCGUCAAGAUAUGCCUAGGUGGGAUUAGCUAGUUGGUGAGGUAAUGGCUCACCAAGGCGGCGAUCCCUAGCUGGUCUGAGAGGAUGAUCAGCCACACUGGAACUGAGACACGGUCCAGACUCCUACGGGAGGCAGCAGUGGGGAAUAUUGCACAAUGGGCGAAAGCCUGAUGCAGCCAUGCCGCGUGUAUGAAGAAGGCCUUCGGGUUGUAAAGUACUUUCAGUUGUGAGGAAGGGGGUAACGUUAAUAGCGUUAUCUCUUGACGUUAGCAACAGAAGAAGCACCGGCUAACUCCGUGCCAGCAGCCGCGGUAAUACGGAGGGUGCGAGCGUUAAUCGGAAUUACUGGGCGUAAAGCGCAUGCAGGUGGUUCAUUAAGUCAGAUGUGAAAGCCCGGGGCUCAACCUCGGAACUGCAUUUGAAACUGGUGAACUAGAGUGCUGUAGAGGGGGGUAGAAUUUCAGGUGUAGCGGUGAAAUGCGUAGAGAUCUGAAGGAAUACCAGUGGCGAAGGCGGCCCCCUGGACAGACACUGACACUCAGAUGCGAAA